rnacentral:rRNA from 1 species
CCAGUGGCGGACGGGUGAGUAACGCGUGGGUAACCUGCCCUGUACAGGGGGACAACAGCCGAAACGGCUGCUAAUACCGCAUAAGCCCGCGGCGCCGCAUGGCGCUGCGGGGAAAACUCCGGUGGUACAGGAUGGGCCCGCGUCUGAUUAGCUAGUUGGCGGGGUAACGGCCCACCAAGGCAGCGAUCAGUAGCCGGCUUGAGAGAGUGGACGGCCACAUUGGGACUGAGACACGGCCCAGACUCCUACGGAAGGCAGCAG